AGAGUUCGAUUCUGGCUCAGGAUGAACGCUGGCGGCGUGCCUAACACAUGCAAGUCGAACGAGGUAUUUUGAUUGAAGUUUUCGGAUGGAUUUCAAGAUACCGAGUGGCGGACGGGUGAGUAACGCGUGGGUAACCUGCCUCAUACAGGGGGAUAACGGUUAGAAAUGACUGCUAAUACCGCAUAAGCGCACAGUACCGCAUGGUACGGUGUGAAAAACUCCGGUGGUAUGAGAUGGACCCGCGUCUGAUUAGCUAGUUGGUGGGGUAACGGCCCACCAAGGCGACGAUCAGUAGCCGACCUGAGAGGGUGACCGGCCACAUUGGGACUGAGACACGGCCCAG
rnacentral:rRNA from 1 species